CGAGUGGCGAACGGGUGAGUAACGCGUGAGGAACCUGCCUCAAAGAGGGGGACGAACAGUUGGAAACGACUGCUAAUACCGCAUAAGCCCACGGGUCGGCAUCGACCAGAGGGAAAAGGAGCAAUCCGCUUUGAGAUGGCCUCGCGUCCGAUUAGCUAGUUGGUGAGGUAACGGCCCACCAAGGCAACGAUCGGUAGCCGGACUGAGAGGUUGAACGGCCACAUUGGGACUGAGACACGGCCCAAACUCCUACGGGAGGCAGCAUG
rnacentral:rRNA from 1 species